GUGGGGAAUUUUGGACAAUGGGCGCAAGCCUGAUCCAGCCAUGCCGCGUGCGGGAAGAAGGCCUUCGGGUUGUAAACCGCUUUUGUCAGGGAAGAAACGCUCUGAGUUAAUACCUCGGGGUAAUGACGGUACCUGAAGAAUAAGCACCGGCUAACUACGUGCCAGCAGCCGCGGUAAUACGUAGGGUGCAAGCGUUAAUCGGAAUUACUGGGCGUAAAGCGUGCGCAGGCGGUUAUGCAAGACAGAUGUGAAAUCCCCGGGCUCAACCUGGGAACUGCAUUUGUGACUGCAUAGCUAGAGUACGGUAGAGGGGGAUGGAAUUCCGCGUGUAGCAGUGAAAUGCGUAGAUAUGCGGAGGAACACCGAUGGCGAAGGCAAUCCCCUGGACCUGUACUGACGCUCAUGCACGAAAGCGUGGGGAGCAAACAGGAUUAGAAACCCCAGUAGUCC
rnacentral:rRNA from 1 species